AUUGAACGCUGGCGGCAUGCUUUACACAUGCAAGUCGAACGGUAACAGGCCUUCGGGCGCUGACGAGUGGCGAACGGGUGAGUAAUGCAUCGGAACGUGCCCAGUCGUGGGGGAUAACCAUCCGAAAGGAUAGCUAAUACCGCAUACGAUCUGCGGAUGAAAGCGGGGGACCUUCGGGCCUCGCGCGAUUGGAGCGGCCGAUGUCAGAUUAGGUAGUUGGUGGGGUAAAGGCACACCAAGCCAACGAUCUGUAGCUGGUCUGAGAGGACGACCAGCCACACUGGGACUGAGACACGGCCCAGACUCCUGCGGGAGGCAGCAGUGGGGAAUUUUGGACAAUGGGCGCAAGCCUGAUCCAGCAAUGCCGCGUGCAGGAAGAAGGCCUUCGGGUUGUAAACUGCUUUUGUUCGGAACGAAACGGCUCUGGUUAAUACCCGGGGCUAAUGACGGUACCGUAAGAAUAAGCACCGGCUAACUACGUGCCAGCAGCCGCAGUAAGAC
rnacentral:rRNA from 1 species